rnacentral:rRNA from 1 species
CCUACGGGAGGCAGCAGUGAGGAAUAUUGGUCAAUGGACGAGAGUCUGAACCAGCCAAGUAGCGUGAAGGAUGACUGCCCUAUGGGUUGUAAACUUCUUUUAUAUGGGAAUAAAAUGUUCCACGUGUGGGAUUUUGUAUGUACCAUAUGAAUAAGGAUCGGCUAAUUCCGUGCCAGCAGCCGCGGUAAUACGGAGGAUCCGAGCGUUAUCCGGAUUUAUUGGGUUUAAAGGGAGCGUAGGUGGGUUGUUAAGUCAGUUGUGAAAGUUUGCGGCUCAACCGUAAAAUUGCAGUUGAAACUGGCAGUCUUGAGUACAGUAGAGGUGGGCGGAAUUCGUGGUGUAGCGGUGAAAUGCUUAGAUAUCACGAAGAACUCCGAUUGCGAAGGCAGUUCACUGGACUGCAACUGACACUGAGGCUCGAAAGUGUGGGUAUCAAACAGGAUUAGAUACCCGUGUAGUC